AAGCGGAGAUUUAACUAUAAGACGAGAAGACCCCAUGGAGCUUUAAACCUGACUACACCCCUAUCUAUUAUACCCUUAAAUCAACAGGGCCUUUGUCUGUCGGUUUUAGGUUGGGGUGACCGCGGAGCAUAAAUUAACCUCCAAGAUGAACUGGACUAACCCAUUAUCUAAGAUUUACACCUCAAAGAAUCAGCACACUGACAUAAAAUGAUCCGACAUUCGAUCAACGAACCAAGUUACCCUGGGGAUAACAGCGCAAUCUACUUCAAGAGCCCCUAUCGACAAGCAGGUUUACGACCUCGAUGUUGGAUCAGGGUAUCCUAGUGGUGCAACAGCUACUAAAGGUUCGUUUGUUCAACGAUUAAAACCCU
rnacentral:rRNA from 1 species